GAUGAACGCUGGCGGCGUGCCUAAUACAUGCAAGUCGAGCGAACAGACGAGGAGCUUGCUCCUCUGACGUUAGCCGCGGACGGGUGAGUCACACGUGGAUAACCUCCCUAUAAGACUGGGAUAACUUCGGGAAACCGGAGAUAAUACCGGAUAAUAUAUUGAACCGCAUGGUUCAAUAGAGAAAGACGGUUUUGCUGUCUCUUAUAGCUGGUUCCGCGCCGCUUUAGCUAGUUGGUAAGGUAACGGGUUACCAAGGCAACGAUGCGUUGCCGACCUGCGAGGGUGAUCGGCCACACGGGAGCUGAGACGCGGUCCAGGCUCCUGCGGGAGGCAGCAGUAGGGAAUCUUCCGCAGUGGGGGGAAGCCUGACGGAGCAACGCCGCGUGUGAUAUGAAGAUGUUGGGAUCGGAAAACUCGGUUAUUAGGGAAGAACAAAUGUGUAAGUAACUGUGCACGGCUUGACGGUACCUGAUAAGAAAGCCCCGGCUAACUACGUG
rnacentral:rRNA from 1 species